rnacentral:rRNA from 1 species
AACGAACGCUGGCGGCAUGCCUAACACAUGCAAGUCGAACGAGACCUUCGGGUCUAGUGGCGCACGGGUGCGUAACGCGUGGGAACCUGCCCUUAGGUUCGGAAUAACUCCCCGAAAGGGGUGCUAAUACCGGAUAAUGUCUUCGGACCAAAGAUUUAUCGCCUUUGGAUGGGCCCGCGUUGGAUUAGCUAGUUGGUAGGGUAAAAGCCUACCAAGGCGACGAUCCAUAGCUGGUCUGAGAGGAUGAUCAGCCACACUGGGACUGAGACACGGCCCAGACUCCUACGGGAGGCAGCAGUGGGGAAUAUUGGACAAUGGGCGAAAGCCUGAUCCAGCAAUGCCGCGUGAGUGAUGAAGGCCUUAGGGUUGUAAAGCUAUUUUAACCGGGAUGAUAAUGACAGUACCGGGAGAAUAAGCUCCGGCUAAAUCCGUG